GUGGGGGAGGCGGGGCGCCCCCGGCCCGGCUCAGCGCUCGGCUCCCGGGGCCCCAGGGAUCCCUAGCAGCAGCGCGCCGGGCCCCGGGCUCAGUGCCAGCGGGUGUGUCCAUCGUCGGUCCGCCGCCCCCGCCCCCUGCGAUGACUCCCGGCUCGCCCGGCUCUGUGGCCGCGCCCGGUAGACUCGCGGCGCGUGGCCGGGCUGCUGGGCUAUGGCCUCCGCGUUCCGAGAGCCCAGGGUUGGAGGAUCCGGACUGAAGGGAUCUUCCCUUCUGCUCUCAACACCUGAGGAAACUGGUGGAAAGUUUGAGAAAGAGAAGUCCAAUCGUCUUUCCGCUUCCGCCCUCCCUAUGACAGUCGAACCACGAGAAGGAGCAGGAAAUGUCCACAUCUCCGAAGGACCACCGCGAGCCACGCCAAGCCAAUCCUGUCUCCUUGCUUCUGCCCUGACUCCCUGAGCACAUGAGAACUUUCCUGUUUUCACAGCCCUCCCUGGGUUGUUCAGACCUCACAGGCCUGUCUGCCUACUCUGACACUCCAGAUGCAGCAGCCAGCCAUCCCUCCCAAGGCCCGCACUGCUGAAUCUUCCCCUGUCCCUCUGCGUGCUGUCUACACAGACCCUACCUGGAAUACUAAGAGGAAACUUUGGCUGGAGACCUGUGGCUACCCAGUGUGGGCUUUUUCAUCUCGCCAGAACACUUCGUUUUCUGUGUUUGUCUUCCUUGGCUUGCUAACCCUGAAGUGUCAAGCACCUAAUGGUUUCCGGCGCUUGGGGAUCCGUUGGAAUGUGUAAAUUUUCACUUUGUCUUCAUAUUGAUCUCCGUCGGCAUUCCUGAAGCUGCACCAUGCACUUUCUGUACAACAGAACCCAGGAGGAGGAAUUCCUGAGUCCAUGGCCAGUGGAAAGAUGAGCAUCAGCAAUGUUGCGCAGAGGCUCCACUCUUGAAGCAAGGGUGUCAAAGACAAACAUAGGUGCCUUAGAAGUUCGGGGCUGAAGACUGACAGAUCAUCAAACUUGAAGAAACCUUUGGAGAAGGCUGCCCACAGAUCUAGGACAUUCAUUUGGGUACUCUAUGAGCAUGAAAAUUAAAUGUUACUGAGCUACCAUGCAUACUGGGAUGAGUUGCAGUGUUUACUCUUGCCUUAAUACGGCAAUUGACUUGGCCUCCGAGAAUAGAUUUGGAGAAAAAAAAUAUAUGUAUACACAUACACACAUAUGUAUGUAUGUAUGUAUGUAUGUAUGUAUGUAUGUAUGUAUAUAUGUAUGUACCCCAGGAGAGUUUGAGACCCAAGCCCUUGCAGAUUUAUAGUAGACCAAUUAACAGAAUGCUAUUGGCCUCCUUAUCUUUGCUAAAGAGAACAAUCUGACUGAAAAA